UAGGGAAUCUUCCACAAUGGACGACAGUCUGAUGGAGCAACGCCGCGUGAGUGAAGAAGGUUUUCGGAUCGUAAAGCUCUGUUGUUGGUGAAGAAGGAUAGAGGCAGUAACUGGUCUUUAUUUGACGGUAAUCAACCAGAAAGUCACGGCUAACUACGUGCCAGCAGCCGCGGUAAUACGUAGGUGGCAAGCGUUGUCCGGAUUUAUUGGGCGUAAAGCGAGCGCAGGCGGAAUGAUAAGUCUGAUGUGAAAGCCCACGGCUCAACCGUGGAACUGCAUCGGAAACUGUCAUUCUUGAGUGCAGAAGAGGAGAGUGGAACUCCAUGUGUAGCGGUGGAAUGCGUAGAUAUAUGGAAGAACACCAGUGGCGAAGGCGGCUCUCUGGUCUGCAACUGACGCUGAGGCUCGAAAGCAUGGGUAGCGAACAGGAUUAGAUACCCUGGUAGUCCAUGCCGUAAACGAUGAGCGCUAGGUGUUGGGGACUUUCCGGUUCUCAGUGCCGCAGCAAACGCAUUAAGCGCUCCGCCUGGGGAGUACGACCGCAAGGUUGAAAC
rnacentral:rRNA from 1 species